rnacentral:sRNA from 1 species
GCUGGGCACAGUGGCUCAUGCCUGUAAUCCCAGCACUUUGGGAGGCUGAGGUGGGCGGAUCACUUGAGGUCAGGAGUUUGAAACCAGCUUGGCCAACAUGGUGAAACCGUGUCUCUAUUAAAGAUACAAAAAGUAGCUGGGCAUGGUGGCACAUGCCUGUAAUCCCAGCUACUCAGGAGACUGAGGCAGGAGAAUCGCCAAGAGGCAGAGGUUGCAGUGAGGCGAGAUCGCGCCACUGCACUCCUGCCUGGGCGACAGAGUGAGAUCCCAUCUCA